rnacentral:lncRNA from 1 species
UUUUUUUUUUUUUUCAAUUGAAAUAUAGUUGACUUGAAAUGCUGUAUUAGUUUCGGGUGUACAGCAAAGUAAAUCAGUUAUGCAUUUACAUAUACCCAUUAUUUUUCCCAUAUAGAUUAUUACAGACUAUUGAGUAGAGUUCCCUGUUCCAUACAGCAGGUGCAUGUUAAUUAUCUAUUUUUAUGUAUCUGUUAUUCCUAGUUCUGAUCCUACGGUUAUUAUAUGCCUUUUUGAGUAUGGGUUAUAUAUAUGCCUACUGGGAGAAAUAGCAGUAGGCAUUGAAUCUUCUGGUUCCAGGACAGUUAUAUUUCUCAUCUACUAAUAAGCUUACACUCUUGAGUACAAGCAACAGGUUUAAGAGAUAGCGAAUGUAACUUUAAUGUGGAGAAAUGGAUUUCCCGUAGGUGUAAUAAUAUAAUCAGUUUUCCAGGCUUGUGAACCUGAACGCUAUAGUGCAGACUAAGAAAAAUUCUUGAAAAAACACUAUUUUGUGAGAUGACUAGGGAGGCAUCCAAUCAUUUUUUUUACCCUAGGCAUGUGCAGCACACACACAAGCAUGUGCGCAUGCACGUGCAUGCGCGCACACACACACACACACGCACACGCUUUCCAUAACAUCAAACUUACAAAGGAUAUGAGGAAUUUUCGCUUUCCUUUUCAUGUAAAUUUUCUAUUGUAGUAAUCCACAGAGCCUGAUGCAACACCUAGGUUUAUAAUCAAUGUUAACAAUCAAAUGUGUAUUUUGCAGGCAAUGUCCAAGUAACAAAAGACAUAUGCUGUUGCUACCAAUGAUUUAAAUGUUUUUCAAAUCCUCUAAAGUUAUGACCUUAACAUUAAAUAACUAUACAUAUGAAUAUCUGCCACUUUUAUCUGAAAAAAUCAGAUUUCAUGGUUAAAAUGUGAUUGAAAUAUGUUAUUGUGUUUGAUAUGUCUAUACAACUUGCCAACGACAUAUAUGAAAGCAAUUUAAUAAUUUGUUAAUGUUAUCAAUAAGUGGCUGAAAGGUUCCUCAUUAUCACUUUCAGUACAUUCUUGAGACUGAAGUUACCAAUCACUGAGAAUUGUACUCAGUAUCUGUAGAGUUGAUUUUCUUACUGAAAUAAGAAUAAAGAAUUCUUUGAAUUUAAUUUUAAUAUUACCUAUUUAAAUUAUCUUAAAGAGUAGAAACACUUAGCAAAGUUUCCUUCAUAAUACUAGGGUGUUUUUGUAAAUCUUUCUAUUUCUAAUUCCAUUUACUAUUAGGCACCAAAGUACUAAAGUCUGUUAUAAUGAGAAAAGUUAAGCAUAUAAAUUGGCUAUGCAGUUAAUGUAAUCAUUACUAAUUGCCUCCCUACUCUGCUAGUUUUCUUCUUUUUUUUGGGCUUUCAGCUCAUCUUUUCCCAUUGAGAGUUUUGUGAGGCACAUCAUUAAUUAUAUGGGUUGUGCAUCAAAUUUAGAACACUGGCAUAUUUGAAAUUUCUUUGAUUUAUUUUUCUAAAUAAUUUUUGUGGCUUAUUAUACCUGUAAAAUGUAUAAACCUAGCAAAAUUUCUUAAAGUAUUAAGAAAAUAUUGAAACUUCAGUUUAUCAAAUGGGACCUAAUUAAAAGUUUUUGCACAGCCACAGCAAAAGAAACCAUAAACAUAAUGAAAAGACAACCCACAGAACGGGAGAAAAAAUUUGUAAAUGAAGUGACUGACAAAGUAUUCAUCUCCAAAAUAUACCAAUAGCUUAUGCGGUUUUAUAUCAAAAAAAUGAAUAUUCCAAUCAAGAAAUAAGAUCUAAUUAGACAUUUCCCCAAAGAAAAAUGGCCAAAAAGCACAUCAAUAGAUGGUGAACCUCCCUACUUAUUAGAGAAAUACAAAUCAAAACUACAGUGAGGUAUCAUCUCACAAUAAUCAGAAUGGACAUUAUCUAAAGGUCCAUAAACAAUAAAUGCUGGUGAGGGUGUGGAGAAAAGGGAACCCUCAUACACUGUUGGUGGGAAUGUAAAUUGGUACAACCACUAUGGAGAAGAGUAUGGAGUUUCCUUAAAAAGCUAAAAAUAGAACAACCAUAUGAUCCAGCAAUUCCACUCCUGGGCAUAUAUUUAGAGAAAAUGAUAAUUCAAAAAGAUAUAUGCACCCCAGUUUUCACUGCAGCUCUAUUUACAAAAGCUAAGACAUGGAAAUGUUCAUCAACAGAAGAAUGUAUAAAGUUGUGGUACAUAUAUACAAUGGAAUAUUACUCAGCCAUAAAAAGAAUGAAGUAACUCCACUUGCAGCAACAUGGAUGGACCUAGAGAUUAGCAUACUAAGUGAAGUAAAUCAGAGAAAGAAAAACAUCAUAUGAUAUCACUUAUAUGUGGAAUCUAAUAAAAAUAAUGCAAAUGAACUUAUUUGCAAAACAGAAACAGACUCACAGAUUUUGAAAACAAACUUUACCAUAGGGGAAAGGGGGGGUGUAAAUUAGGAGUUUGUGAUUAACAUAUUAACACUACUAUACAUAAUGGAUAACCAACAAGGACCUAAUAUAUAGCACAGGGAACUCUAUUUAAUAUUCCAUAGUAACCUCUUGGGGAAAAUAAUCUAAAAAAUGGAUAUGUAUAUAAAACUAAGUCACUUUGCUGUAUACCUGAAACUAACAAAAUAUUGUAAAUCAACUAUACUCCAAUAAUUUUUUUUAACAAAAAAAAUGUUCUAAGGGUCCUGAUUUUCUUCAUGGGAAAAGUCCUGAUUUACAGUUUAAUAAUGCAAAGAUUCACUAUGUCAUAUAAACGGCAUUUUUAUGAAAAUUACAUUUUUUCCAGAAAAAAGAAAUUUCACUUUAUAAAAGUAAUUCUAGAACUGAAAAGUUAAAUACUGAAAAAAAUUCCAACUAUCUAUCUGAAGCUGUAUGUUUUCCACCAAAAAUUUGGAAGGAUUAUAUUUUCCCUCCUACCUAAAGUAGCCAAGAUGGUAAGUAAUGUCAAACACCUUAGAGACUGACUGGUUCUGAGUGAACAGUGGCUAAGAACUAUUUUACAGCUACUGACCUUUUCUACAGAAAUGUAAAUAUAGGCACAGAAGUACUCUUCCUAUGCAUCCAAAGAAUCCAUUUUCUGGGUUUUGUUUGUUUGUUUGUUUGUUUUUUGUCUUUUUAGGGCCACACCUGCAGCAUAUGGAAGUUCCCAGACUAGGGACCGAAUCAGCAGAGCUGCAGCCACCACCACAGCCACAUCAAUGGCAAAUCUGAGCCGCAUCUGCAACCCAUGCCUCAGCUUGAGGAAACACUGGAUUUUCAACCCACUGAGUGAAGCCAGGGAUGGAAACCACAUCCUCAGGGAUACUAGUUGGGUUCUUAAUCUGUUGAACCACAUCAAAAACUCCCUUGUUUUAUUUUUUAAUAAUGAGUCAGAAGAGUGUACUAGUUCCUCUUUUUCUCACAGCAAUGCAAUCACACAUCAUUCAAAUUAAUAAACCUUUCCAACUCAUUUGAUCCAUUAGGCAGUCAGAAUCUCACUCACAUGCCAGUUCCUAAACUGAAACUUACAUGGUUCAUUAAAUAUAACAUGUCAUUGCUGCUUUGUGUAAAGAACUAUCACACAACUCUAAACUUUUUUUGCUUUUUGUUUUUAGAUAUUGUUUCUGAAUUUCAGAGAUAUUCAUUUCUCUACACUUGCAUUCUACACAAAAUAUGCAUUGUGGAUAUUACAGUGUGUAAGUUGGAAAAAAUGAAAAGAAGCACAGCAUGGUUUGGAGAACGGCCUCUUCUUAUGUUUUCUUAAAAAUCCCUUACAACAAACAGCUUUCUGAAGCUAUAGACAUGGGCUAGCUUAUAUAAUUACAUUUAUGAAAAUUCAAAUUUAAAACAUACUUAAAUAUUCAUUAAGAUGAUUGAAAGUAAUGAAAACAAUGGAUAAAUGGUAAAAAACACAUAGUUUAUGUGUAUGUGUGCACGGAUAUGCAAAAGAGGCAAAAAAAGAAAGUUUGAAUGGAAGGAGAUACUUCUCUUUUUUUUGUUUGUUUUUUGUUUUUGUCUUUUUAAGGCUGCAGCUACAACAUAUGGAAGUUCCCAGGCUAGGGAUCAAAUUGGAGUUUCAGUUGCUGGCCUAUGUCACAGCCACAACAGUGCCAGAUCUGAGCUGCAUCUGCGACCUACACGGCAGCUUGUGGCAAUGCCAGAUCCUUAACCCUCUGAGUGAGGCCAGGGAACUACUUCAGUUUUAUCCAUUAGGCAACAAGGAGUCUUAAAGUAGUUUAAGGCCUAACAAUUAUGUGUUUUAGAAAGCUGACUGUAAUUAUAGUAGGAAGGAUGAAUUUAAGGUGGGCUAAUCAGGAGUUAUUUGUAUUAUUUGAUGAUUAACUUCAUGUGUCAACUUGGCCAGGUCAUAGUACCCAUAUAUUUGGUCAAACACUAGCCUGGAUAUUGUUGUGAAAAUAUUCUUAGAUGGGAUUAACAUUUAGAUCCAUAGAUUUUGAGUAAAGCAGCCUACCCUCCAUAAAGUGGGCAAGACUCAUCAAAUC